ACAACACUUUUUUGAAUGUUUGACCAUAGCACUGCUACUAGCACGAACACUCAUUCUAUCAACGUCAAAAUAUCAUCCAAAUUUCAAAGAUGUAUGCGUGUAAGAUUGCAUGUGUUGUGCGUCUUUAUUCACCUUAACAAAGCAUGACUC